rnacentral:rRNA from 1 species
UGGGGAAUAUUGCACAAUGGGGGAAACCCUGAUGCAGCGACGCCGCGUGAGUGAAGAAGUAUUUCGGUACGUAAAGCUCUAUCAGCAGGGAAGAAAAUGACGGUACCUGAUUAAGAAGCCCCGGCUAACUACGUGCC